rnacentral:rRNA from 1 species
GUGCCAGCAGCCGCGGUAAUACAGAGGGUGCGAGCGUUAAUCGGAUUUACUGGGCGUAAAGCGUGCGUAGGCGGCUUUUUAAGUCGGAUGUGAAAUCCCCGAGCUUAACUUGGGAAUUGCAUUCGAUACUGGGAAGCUAGAGUAUGGGAGAGGAUGGUAGAAUUCCAGGUGUAGCGGUGAAAUGCGUAGAGAUCUGGAGGAAUACCGAUGGCGAAGGCAGCCAUCUGGCCUAAUACUGACGCUGAGGUACGAAAGCAUGGGGAGCAAACAGGAUUAGAUACCCUUGUAGUCC